GACGAACGCUGGCGGCGUGCCUAAUACAUGCCAGUUGAGCGAUGAAGAUUGGUGCUUGCACCAAUUUGAAGAGCAGCGAACGGGUGAGUAACGCGUGGGGAAUCUGCCUUUGAGCGGGGGACAACAUUUGGAAACGAAUGCUAAUACCGCAUAAUAACUUUAAACAUAAGUUUUAAGUUUGAAAGAUGCAAUUGCAUCACUCAAAGAUGAUCCCGCGUUGUAUUAGCUAGUUGGUGAGGUAAAGGCUCACCAAGGCGAUGAUACAUAGCCGACCUGAGAGGGUGAUCGGCCACAUUGGGACUGAGACACGGCCCAAACUCCUACGGGAGGCAGCAGUAGGGAAUCUUCGGCAAUGGACGAAAGUCUGACCGAGCAGCGCCGCGUGAGUGAAGAAGGGUUUCGGAUCGUAAAACUCUGUUGGUAGAGAAGAACGUUGGUGAGAGUGGAAAGCUCAUCAAGUGACGGUAACUACCCAGAAAGGGACGGCUAACUACGUG
rnacentral:rRNA from 1 species